CAUUCAGUAGCCCAGCUACUUGUUUACACCCUUGUUUUUUUUUUGCGUACUUAUCGUUUCCCUCGGCGGGCUUGCCUGCCGGUUGGACAACUUUAUAACCUUUUUUAAAUCUUCAAUCAGCGUCUGAAUAAUAUACAAUAAUUA
rnacentral:misc_RNA from 1 species